CAAAAAAGAGGUAAAUUUAACUCCUUCCGCCCCCUAGAGCCCUUUUAGAGCCAGGAAAAUGAGUAUGUUUUCCUGGCACUAUAGUGGUCCUUUAAAUAGUUUUACUGGGUGAGUUUAUAUUAUUAAAGGGACACUCCAGGCUCCCACACGCGUUAGGUGCACUGUGUAGGUUAGGUUACAGUUAGUUAUACUGGGUGGGUUUAUAUUAUUAAAGGGACACUCCAGGCUCCCACACGCAUUAGGUGCACUGUGUAGGUUAGGUUACAGUUAGUUAUACUGAGUGGGUUUAUAUUAUAUUAUUAUGGACAUUACAAUCUAACCACGGUCUGUAGAAUACUCAGGGAACUCAGCUGCUCACACUGGAGAAUCUUUUAAACCUAGAAUGCUUUAUUGGUCAUUUCUAUUAGGUCUCACAACUUAAAAACCUGCAAAAUAAAUCAAUUAUUUACCUAAAAAGGGUCGGGCAAAGGUGUCCUCACUGGUUUCAACUCCCUGUCCAACGUCACCCCUCCCUUAUGAGCUCCAAUUAAAUGCUUGUAAAAAAAAAUAACUAAAUAAAUAAACAGAGGGAUUGUUAGAAAUCAUGGGAGUUGGAGAUGGCAAAGUGGGCCUUAAAUGAGAGAGGGAUGGGAGAUAGAAGUGCAUUACAUGCUAGGGGGAAAUCUGAUAACGUCCGUCUCCAGCGCACAGUGGAUGUUAACGAUAGAUGUGCUUUAUGCACAUAUUUACAUGCGCACACACAGAGACCUUCCACCAUAACCACUUCUAAAAGCAAACGUGGUCAUGGUGGUUGGAG